ACUUUAUUAGUAUAAUUAGUACAAUUAAUUUCCAAUUAAGAAGUUUAUUUUUAAAUAAAGUA
rnacentral:tRNA from 1 species